GUGCUCGCUUCGGCCACACAUAUACUAAAAUUGGAACAAUACAGAGAAGAUUAGCACGGCCCCUGCGCAAGGAUGACAUGAUUAAAAUAAUUUUUU
rnacentral:snRNA from 1 species